ensembl:lncRNA
UUCUGGUUGGAGAUCCUUCCCUGGUGGACUUUUUCCUCUGUGAGCCUGGGUUGUUGGAGAUGGGACUGCUGAAUUAUUUAGAUGUGGAAUGGGUCUUCUGAUAGCAAGAAUUAUGGGAAAGACUUGAGAUUUACAAGGUUCAGAGGCACCUUGAAGCAGCAGAAAAAAAUAAACAAGAGAAGACAGAGUGGGAAGGCUUCACACUGUGGCUCUGGGGCGAGCAGAUCAUGGGCUCUUGUGGCAGCGUGCGGCUGGGGAGGUAAGGGGAAGCCAGGUGCUAUUGAAUGGUGUUGGACACUUCAAAGUGGUGAGAAAGUCACAGAGACCUCCAAAACCUCUCUUGGGCCAUGUCAACAUAUCAAUCUUAAUUUGGCUGUUGUUUCCUUGUAUGUGCCAACUAUUCUAAUUCAGCACUGAGUUAAAGAAAAACUGAUUCUGUGUUGUCAAAGUUUCUGCAUUCUAAACAUGGAGUUUUAUCUUAUAACAAACACCUGGGUGCUUUUAGCCACUCCUGAACCUUCUUACCAAGACUGUGACGUUUUCCUCAUGAUGUCACUGGUCCUCCCACAAGGCGAUGGCCACAGGAGUCCUCCCCCUGAGCACAGCAGCACAGGGCCCCUUCCAGCUGCAGUCAGGCCAGGCUGGAGCUGGCAUCCAUGCACACCUUGGCUGUACGUUCUCUGUGUGGAAGAACAGGUGGUCUCAUCAGUGUGGCAUGCUCAGAUUAUGCUGCUUAACUCUGAAUACCAUAUUUUGGUGUUUCCAGGCCUGCGCGCUCACUGUGAAAGUCUUCUUGCAGUAAAUAUGUUGUAUAGGUACCCUGCAGUGCUCUUUCACAGACUGCUGAUGGGUUGUUGGUUGUACCCGUGUCUGUCUGGUCACUGCUAGUGACAAGCAUUGAGAAAAUGCCUAUUCUAAAUAUCCAAAUGCAUGUAUGAUUUUCAGAAAAUAGGCUUGUUAAUUUCUUGGGAGAGAUGUAAUAUUCACACCAUCGAACUUGAUAGCUCAAGCACUCGGAGCUCAUGUUGGAAGUGAGACUUACAGCCUUACAGCCUCUCUUAGUGCAGCAUUGCAUACUUCUUCUCUCCAUCUAGGUACCAGAAAGUUGAUUGCAUUUCAUUUCCUUUAUAACUUCUUUGUGACAGACUUUGAAUAAGCCAGGAAAGUCAAUGACAGCUGAAUUGAGAAUUCGAAAGUCCAUUUAAAAGGGAUUAUAGUAAAUGAAACUGUCCUGGUUUUCCUUUUACAAGUCUUUGUGGUAGUUGUACUUUCUCAUUUUCUAUUACCAAUGUGUUCUAUAGGGCGAAGCAGAGCUUUCUUGUAUUUAAUUCUGAGUAGCAUCCUUGAUGCCUUGCAAAUCUGGUAAGAAAGGAGUAGGGGAGCGUGGAGUGCCAAUAUGAUAAUUGUGCUGAUAACAUGAAACUCUUUUUCAUAGUGAAAAUUUUUGAGUAGUGGGAAUUAUAUUUAGGCAAUAGGACUGUAUAACAAUAUAGUAUGAUAUUUUAGUUUAAUAUGUUGCAGUUGAAGUCCCACCAUAAGUAAUGGAUUUUUUCUAAAUCAGAAGAUAACUGAGUUUCUUCAUGUUUGAGGAAGAUAUGUCCUAGCUUUUAUCUCUGUGCUCGAUGCAAGCAUGAU